CAUGCAGUCGAGCGACAGUGGUUUUCGGAUCAUAUGGAGCGGCGAACGGGUGAGUAACACGUGGGCAACCUGCCCUCAGCUCUGGGAUAACUCCGGGAAACCGGGGCUAAUACCGGAUAUGACCUUUCAUCUCAUGGUGUUUGGUGGAAAGUUUUUCGGCUGAGGAUGGGCCCGCGGCCUAUCAGCUUGUUGGUGGGGUAAUGGCCUACCAAGGCGACGACGGGUAGCCGGCCUGAGAGGGCGACCGGCCACACUGGGACUGAGACACGGCCCAGACUCCUACGGGAGGCAGCAGUGGGGAAUAUUGCGCAAUGGGCGAAAGCCUGACGCAGCGACGCCGCGUGAGGGAUGAAGGCCUUCGGGUUGUAAACCUCUUUCAGCAGGGACGAAGCGAAAGUGACGGUACCUGCAGAAGAAGCACCGGCCAACUACGUGCCAGCAGCCGCGGUAAUACGUAGGGUGCAAGCGUUGUCCGGAAUUAUUGGGCGUAAAGAGCUCGUAGGCGGUUUGUCGCGUCGGCUGUGAAAUCUCGGGGCUCAACCCCGAGCCUGCAGUCGAUACGGGCAGACUAGAGUGCUGUAGGGGAGACUGGAAUUCCUG
rnacentral:rRNA from 1 species